AUUGAACGCUGGCGGCAGGCUUAACACAUGCAAGUCGAGCGGAGAUGAGGUGCUUGCACCUUAUCUUAGCGGCGGACGGGUGAGUAAUGCUUAGGAAUCUGCCUAUUAGUGGGGGACAACAUUCCGAAAGGAAUGCUAAUACCGCAUACGCCCUACGGGGGAAAGCAGGGGAUCUUCGGACCUUGCGCUAAUAGAUGAGCCUAAGUCGGAUUAGCUAGUUGGUAGGGUAAAGGCCUACCAAGGCGACGAUCUGUAGCGGGUCUGAGAGGAUGAUCCGCUACACUGGGACUGAGACACGGCCCAGACUCCUACGGGAGGCAGCAGUGGGGAAUAUUGGACAAUGGGCGGAAGCCUGAUCCAGCCAUGCCGCGUGUGUGAAGAAGGCCUUUUGGUUGUAAAGCACUUUAAGCGAGGAGGAGGCUACCUGGAUUAAUACUCUAGGAUAGUGGACGUUACUCGCAGAAUAAGCACCGGCUAACUCUGUGCCAGCCGCCGCCGUAAAAC
rnacentral:rRNA from 1 species